GAUGAACGCUGGCGGCGUGCCUAAUACAUGCAAGUCGAGCGAACAGACGAGGAGCUUGCUCCUCUGACGUUAGCGGCGGACGGGUGAGUAACACGUGGAUAACCUACCUAUAAGACUGGGAUAACUUCGGGAAACCGGAGCCAAUACCGGAUAAUAUAUUGAACCGCAUGGUUCAAUAGUGAAAGACGGUUUUGCUGUCACUUAUAGGUGGAUCCGCGCCGCAUUAGCUAGUUGGUAAGGUAACAGCUUACCAAGGCAACGAUGCGUAGCCGACCUGAGAGGGUGAUCGGCCACACUGGAACUGAGACACGGUCCAGACUCCUACGGGAGGCAGCAGUAGGGAAUCUUCCGCAAUGGGCGAAAGCCUGACGGAGCAACGCCGCGUGAGUGAUGAAGGUCUUCGGAUCGUAAAACUCUGUUAUUAGGGAAGAACAAAUGUGUAAGUAACUAUGCACGUCUUGACGGUACCUAAUCAGAAAGCCACGGCUAACUACGUG
rnacentral:rRNA from 1 species